rnacentral:rRNA from 1 species
UUUCGCAAUGCCCGAAAGGGUGACGAAGCGACGCCGCGUGUGGGAAGAAGGUCUUCGGGUUGUAAACCACUGUCGGGAGUUAGGAAAUGUAAGGGUGCUAAUAGUACCCUUACUUGACUAAGGCUCCGGAGGAAGCCACGGCUAACUCUGUGCCAGCAGCCGCGGUAAUACAGAGGCGGCAAGCGUUGUUCGGAAUUAUUGGGCGUAAAGAGCACGUAGGCGGCCUUGUAAGUCAGUUGUGAAAGCCUUCUGCUUAACGGAAGAACAGCAGCUGAUACUGCAAGGCUAGAGUGCGGAAGGGGAGAGUGGAACUUCUGGUGGAGCGGUGAAAUGCGUAGAUAUCAGAAGGAACACCGGCGGCGAAGGCGACUCUCUGGUCCGUAACUGACGCUGAGUGUGCGAAAGCUAGGGGAGCAAACGGGAUUAGAUACCCCGGUAGUCCUAGCCGUAAACGAUGGGCACUAAGUAGAGGGGUUUUA